rnacentral:rRNA from 1 species
AAGCGCUCAUGACCAGACUUGGGCUUGGUUGAUCAUCCAGGGUUCUCCCUGGUGCACUCUUCCAGCCCAGGCCAGCAUCAGUUCGCUGUGGGGGAUAAAGGCUUUGGGAAUGUAUCUACCUUCGGGUCGACUUAUAGCCCAGGUCGUAAUGUAGCCUACCUGGACCGAGGAACGCGCUUCGGCUCGGAUGCUGGCGUAAUGGU